GGUUUGAUUAUGGCUCAGGAUGAACGCUAGCUACAGGCUUAACACAUGCAAGUCGAGGGGCAGCAUUUUAGUUUGCUUGCAAACUAAAGAUGGCGACCGGCGCACGGGUGAGUAACACGUAUCCAACCUGCCGAUAACUCGGGGAUAGCCUUUCGAAAGAAAGAUUAAUAUCCGAUAGUAUAUUAAAACCGCAUGGUUUUACUAUUAAAGAAUUUCGGUUAUCGAUGGGGAUGCGUUCCAUUAGUUUGUUGGCGGGGUAACGGCCCACCAAGACUACGAUGGAUAGGGGUUCUGAGAGGAAGGUCCCCCACAUUGGAACUGAGACACGGUCCAAACUCCUACGGGAGGCAGCAGUGAGGAAUAUUGGUCAAUGGACGAGAGUCUGAACCAGCCAAGUAGCGUGAAGGAUGACUGCCCUAUGGGUUGUAAACUUCUUUUAUAUGGGAAUAAAGUAUUCCACGUGUGGGAUUUUGUAUGUACCAUAUGAAUAAGGAUCGGCUAACUCCGUGCCAGCAGCCGCGGUAAUACGGAGGAUCCGAGCGUUAUCCGGAUUUAUUGGGUUUAAAGGGAGCGUAGGUGGAUUGUUAAGUCAGUUGUGAAAGUUUGCGGCUCAACCGUAAAAUUGCAGUUGAAACUGGCAGUCUUGAGUACAGUAGAGGUGGGCGGAAUUCGUGGUGUAGCGGUGAAAUGCUUAGAUAUCACGAAGAACUCCGAUUGCGAAGGCAGCUCACUAGACUGCAACUGACACUGAUGCUCGAAAGUGUGGGUAUCAAACAGGAUUAGAUACCCUGGUAGUCCACACAGUAAACGAUGAAUACUCGCUGUUUGCGAUAUACAGUAAGCGGCCAAGCGAAAGCAUUAAGUAUUCCACCUGGGGAGUACGCCGGCAACGGUGAAACUCAAAGGAAUUGACGGGGGCCCGCACAAGCGGAGGAACAUGUGGUUUAAUUCGAUGAUACGCGAGGAACCUUACCCGGGCUUAAAUUGCAUUUGAAUAAUCUGGAAACAGGUUAGCCGCAAGGCAAAUGUGAAGGUGCUGCAUGGUUGUCGUCAGCUCGUGCCGUGAGGUGUCGGCUUAAGUGCCAUAACGAGCGCAACCCUUAUCUUUAGUUACUAACAGGUCAUGCUGAGGACUCUAGAGAGACUGCCGUCGUAAGAUGUGAGGAAGGUGGGGAUGACGUCAAAUCAGCACGGCCCUUACGUCCGGGGCUACACACGUGUUACAAUGGGGGGUACAGAAGGCAGCUACCUGGCGACAGGAUGCUAAUCCCAAAAACCUCUCUCAGUUCGGAUCGAAGUCUGCAACCCGACUUCGUGAAGCUGGAUUCGCUAGUAAUCGCGCAUCAGCCAUGGCGCGGUGAAUACGUUCCCGGGCCUUGUACACACCGCCCGUCAAGCCAUGAAAGCCGGGGGUACCUGAAGUACGUAACCGCAAGGAGCGUCCUAGGGUAAAACUGNUAAUUGGGGCUAAGUCGUAAAAAGGUAGCC
rnacentral:rRNA from 1 species